CCCAAAUUGAACCCAAAAAUUAAAGGAUUGUUAUCAUUGUCGAAGGCUUGAAGGAGGUAGGUAUUUUCCCUUUUCUUAUAGCCAUUUCCCCCAUUUAUUUUUCUGUUGUCAUGCCUUUUACAUUUUGGAUUUUUCUUACUUCAUGUAUGAAUAUGAUGAUUUAAAUUCCUUGUCAGUUUAUAAUAAUGGAUUGUGUGAAUAUUUUCAGUGAUGGUAUACGCCUUCUUAUGGGUUUGUUAGUACGGGCAUAGAUAUGAAAUUUGUUGAUGAUGAGGCAUAGAAUAUGGGCGGUGUAGCUAUGAGAUGAUGAUGUGUUGGUUGGUUAGGCUUAAUAUGGGUGUAGCUAUAUGAAGUUUAUACUAUGUUUUAUGGUUUAUCUAGACUCUCAAGUUCUUCUGAGUAGUCAAGAUGCAAGUAGCAAUUGUACUUUUCAAAGUUUAGAAUUAGCUUCAAGAGCAGAUGCAAAGAGCUAUAAGUAAUAUUGGGAAUGGAAGUCAGAAAGGGAUGAAGAAAGUUGAAAGACAGAACCAGAUUGAGUAUGUGAGUGGUUUGUAUGAUCCUUCAUUUUUCUGGAAUGAUCAAGCCUCCAAAAUUUCAAUUCUAUGAUUCAAAGACACCUUUCUUCACUUCCCCGAGAUUCUUACCACCCACCAGAGUAGAAAAAUGCAAGGUAUUCCCCGAGAUUCUUACCACCCACCAAAGUAGAAAAAUGCAAGGUAUUGAAUCUUUUUCAUCUUCUAUUUGGUAUACGCCUUCUUAUGGAUUUUGCUAUCUAGGAUACCAUGAUGAUGGGCGCUGAUUAGUGAUUACUAUCAAACUGAGACUGAAAUUGCAUCUCUGCUGGCAGAAGCAAAUGUCCUAGUUGGUGUUGGAUUAGUGCGGCUUUGUUUCAAUAGGAGCUAGCUGGGUGUCGAUUGUUGAAUUCAUUAGUGAAGCUGUCUGUGUAUUGUUGUGCUUCUGCUAUGCUGGUUCUGUUUUGUGUUAUAGAGGUCCAGCUUCAUGAUUUAUAUUUUGUUAGAGUAGGUGGUUGCAUUAUGGUUGUAUCAGCGCUUUUUGUUCUUAGUUCACUUAUUAAUCUAUUUUUGCUUUUCCAAAAAAAAAAAAUCAUCCUAAAUCCAACUAUCCAAGUGACUAUUUUUUGUUUUGUUAUAAAUCAUUAAAUGUAAUGAUGAUGAAGUUAAUUUAGUAGGAGAUUUGGGAGCAUAAUUCAGUACUUCUAACACUGUUUCAGAGGUAGUUUUUGGCUUCAUUUCCUUUUUAUAAUAUUUGUUUGGUUUGUAUUUCAAAUCUGAACCAGCUUGUUUGAUACAAAAACUGGAUUUCUUAUAGUGGAGAUAAAAUGUUAGAGAUGCCAUACUAAUACUUUCAGCUCUUCCUGGUUCAAGAAUAGAUUCAAGUGAUUUUUAGAAGAUGCUAACAGAACUAUGGAGAUGUGCAAAGGCUACUUCAACAAAGCUUUGAUUCAGAUGAGGAAGAGAAACAAGUUUAAAUGAGACACUUGCAUUUUAUCAUAGGUAAAUGUAUUUUAGUGACAUUAUUUAUUGAUGUAUGUUUUAGUGAAGAAUGUUGCUUUGAAUUGGAUUUUCUUGUUGAUCCCUUUGUUGCUGUUAUAUGGUGGUUUCUGGUAAGUUAUGCAGGCUAGUUUUGAGCAUGCUAGUAGUGUUCUUGAGUAUCUUUAAAUACUUCAAUUAAUACAUAAUAUAUAUUAUGGCUUUGUUUAAAUAUCAUGUCUUUACCACUUUCGUCAAGUGCAACUUAGAUGCAGCACUCUCCUCGACAGAAAACAAGGCUGGACUGGGAGCGUGCAUAAGGGUCGAUAAAGGACAGUUUGUAGCAGCUAUGACAGCAAGCAUCAACGCCAAGUUUUCGGCAGCGGAAGCAGAAGCAUGGUGUUUGCAGCAAAAGUCUUCAAUUGAUAUCAACACUUGGCUACACUAAGGUGUUGUUUGAAAUGGAUUGCAAGAUGGUUGUUGAUGAUGUGCACAAUAAUCCUAAUAACUCUAUGGUUUACUCAUCAAUAAGUGUACAUGCAGGGUUGAAAGAUGAUUUAUAAACAAUGACCAAGUUGGUUUUUGAAAAAAUUUAGAGAAUUUUAUAGAAAUUCAACAAGUUGUUAGUUUUGGUUUCUUCUAUUGGAUUUAAUUAUGAGACAUUUCUGUCAAAUUCUUAAGGUAUAGCUAAAAACAUAAUAGAAACUUUCUAACUAUUUUGAUGAUUUGCCAAUCAGUUAGCUGAAUAAAGAAACAUCGACAUAGGGAAAUUGGAUUGAAGAAUAACCUCUAAGUUUUGCUCUUGGAUUGUUCUAAAUUUUUGUAUCAUGUUUCAGUCUCUCUGUCUGCAAAUGAUAUACAGAGGAUCACAUUAAAUCUGUUUGUUUAAAAUUUUCAGGUCUGGAAGAAUUAUGUAUGUGAGGUAUCUGAAUCGGGUAUUUGCACUACAGUUGGUAGGGUGACCCCAGAAAUUUACGCGCAAUUCGCAGCCGCAGCUAAGGAAAGCUAUGCAUUGGAACAUUAUGCUCCACUCUUACUUAGCCUUCAGAAUUGCAAUUUUGUCAGGGAUGCAUUCACUGGAAUAACUUCAAGUCACUGUCCUCCAUUAAAGCAUUACCUCAAGAUUAUUAAUGUAGGACUGGGACUCAUUUCAGUCGGCAUUCUGCUCUGCCUUGUUCUGUGGAUACUAUAUGCAAACCGCCCCCAAAGGGGAGAAGUGUCUGUGAAGCUAUCCUUAAAAGAAAAAAUAAAGAGCAGAUUUAACAAGAACCAGAAUAGCACAAAUUUAGUAUUGCCAAAUGCAAUUAGUGAAGUAUAGAUUCUAAAAUAAAAUAUUUGUUGAUAAAGAAGCAAGCUACUAUUGUUUUUACUGUACUCUAUAUACUAAAGGAAUAAGCAAAGGUGGAGCGAAGCUGCCGCCUGAGUUCGAAGUUAAUAGAAAACGUAGUGUACUACUUAGUUUGUUCAUAUA